UACAGAGGUCUCAAGCGUUGUUCGGAUUCAUUGGGCGUAAAGGGUGCGUAGGCGGCGAGGUAAGUCGGAUGUGAAAUCCCGGGGCUCAACCCCGGAACUGCAUUCGAUACUGCUUUGCUUGAGUACUGGAGAGGAGACUGGAAUUUACGGUGUAGCAGUGAAAUGCGUAGAUAUCAAGCGGAACACCGGUGGCGAAGGCGGCCUUCUGGACAGUGACUGACGCUGGAGACGCGAAAGCGUGGGGAGCAAACAGG
rnacentral:rRNA from 1 species